CUAGGACAAUAGGAAUUGAACCUACACCAAAGAACUCAAAAUCCUUUAUGCUCCCAUUACACCACAUCCUA
rnacentral:tRNA from 1 species